rnacentral:tRNA from 1 species
GUCCCUGUACCGCAGUGGAUAGCACGUUGGACUUCUAAUCCAAAGGCCGUGGGUUCAAAUCCCACCAGGGAUG